ACCUGAAACCGUGUACGUACAAGCAGUGGGAGCCCCACCACCAAAGCAUUCUCUGGUGUUGAAGGCCCUGCAAAGCAGCAUCGCGGUGGCGGAGCGUCGUUUGCGACGCCCAACACACAAAACAAGCGGUGAGUGCUUUGGGGUGGGGUGACUGCGUACCUUUUGUAUAAUGGGUCAGCGACUUAUAUUCUGUAGCAAGGUUAACCGAAUAGGGGAGCCGGAGGGAAACCGAGUCUUAAUUGGGCGUUAAGUUGCAGGGUAUAGACCCGAAACCCGGUGAUCUAGCCAUGGGCAGGUUGAAGGUUGGGUAACACUAACUGGAGGACCGAACCGACUAAUGUUGAAAAAUUAGCGGAUGACCUGUGGCUGGGGGUGAAAGGCCAAUCAAACCGGGAGAUAGCUGGUUCUCCCCGAAAGCUAUUUAGGUAGCGCCUCGUGAAUUCAUCUCCGGGGGUAGAGCACUGUUUCGGCUAGGGGGCCAUCCCGGCUUACCAACCCGAUGCAAACUGCGAAUACCGGAGAAUGUUAUCACGGGAGACACACGGCGGGUGCUAACGUCCGUCGUGAAGAGGGAAACAACCCAGACCGCCAGCUAAGGUCCCAAAGUCAUGGUUAAGUGGGAAACGAUGUGGGAAGGCCCAGACAGCCAGGAUGUUGGCUUAGAAGCAGCCAUCAUUUAAAGAAAGCGUAAUAGCUCACUGGUCGAGUCGGCCUGCGCGGAAGAUGUAACGGGGCUAAACCAU
rnacentral:rRNA from 1 species